rnacentral:rRNA from 1 species
AGUGAACGCUGGCGGCAGGCCUAACACAUGCAAGUCGAACGGCAGCACAGUAAGAGCUUGCUCUUACGGGUGGCGAGUGGCGGACGGGUGAGGAAUACAUCGGAAUCUACUUUUUCGUGGGGGAUAACGUAGGGAAACUUACGCUAAUACCGCAUACGACCUACGGGUGAAAUCAGGGGAUCUUCGGACCUUGCGCGAUUGAAUGAGCCGAUGUCGGAUUAGCUAGUUGGCGGGGUAAAGGCCCACCAAGGCGACGAUCCGUAGCUUGUCUGAGAGGAUGAUCAGCCACACUGGAACUGAGACACGGUCCAGACUCCUACGGGAGGCAGCAGUGGGGAAUAUUGGACAAUGGGCGCAAGCCUGAUCCAGCCAUACCGCGUGGGUGAAGAAGGCCUUCGGGUUGUAAAGCCCUUUUGUUGGGAAAGAAAAGCAGCAGGUUAAUACCCCGCUGUUCUGACGGUACCCAAAGAAUAAGCACCGGCUAACUUCGUG